CCCUGACAGGCGUAAUGUGCGCCUGACUUAACCCACGACAGGAGAUAAAAAUG
rnacentral:sRNA from 12 species